rnacentral:rRNA from 1 species
AGCGAACGCUGGCGGCAGGCCUAACACAUGCAAGUCGAACGAACCUUUCGGGGUUAGUGGCGGACGGGUGAGUAACACGUGGGAACGUGCCUUUAGGUUCGGAAUAACUCAGGGAAACUUGUGCUAAUACCGAAUGUGCCCUUCGGGGGAAAGAUUAAUCGCCCUUAGAGCGGCCCGCGUCUGAUUAGCUAGUUGGUUGAGGUAAUGGCUCACCAAGGCGACGAUCAGUAGCUGGUCUGAGAGGAUGAUCAGCCACAUUGGGACUGAGACGCGGCCCAAACUCCUACGGGAGGCAGGAGUGGGGAAUCUUGCGCAAUGGGCGAAAGGCUGACGCAGCCAUGCCGCGUGAAUGAUGAAGGUCUUAGGAUUGUAAAAUUCUUUCACCGGGGACGAUAAUGACGGUACCCGGUGAAGAAGCCCCGGCUAACUUCGUG